CCCUUAGAUGUCCUGGGCUGCACGCGCGCUACACUGAUGUGUCCAGUAAGCACCUGACCUCUUCCGAAAGGAACGGGUAACCUUUGCAAAGCACAUCGUGAUGGGGAUAGAUUAUUGCAAUUAUUAGUCUUGAACGAGGAAUUCCUAGUAAGCACAAGUCAUCAGCUUGUGUUGAUUACGUCCCUGCCCUUUGUACACACCGCCCGUCGCUCCUACCGAUUGAAUGUUCCGGUGAGCUCUUCGGACUGCGCGGUCUGCAGUUUCUGCGUUCCGUGCGGAAAGUUGCGCAAACCUUAACAUUUAGAGGAAGGAGAAGUCGUAACA
rnacentral:rRNA from 1 species